GAUGAACGCUGGCGGCGUGCUUAACACAUGCAAGUCGAGCGAGAAGUUUUGAACAGAUUCUUCGGAUGAAAUUUAAAAUGGAAAGCGGCGGACGGGUGAGUAACGCGUAGGCAACCUGCCCCAUACAAAGGGAUAGCAUUUGGAAACGAAUAUUAAUACCUUAUGAAACUUAACUAGUGCAUGCUAGGUAGGUCAAAGAUUUAUCGGUAUGGGAUGGGCCUGCGUCUGAUUAGCUAGUUGGUGAGGUAACGGCUCACCAAGGCGACGAUCAGUAGCCGACCUGAGAGGGUGAACGGCCACAUUGGAACUGAGACACGGUCCAAACUCCUACGGGAGGCAGCAGUGGGGAAUAUUGCACAAUGGGGGAAACCCUGAUGCAGCAACGCCGCGUGAACGAUGAAGGCCUUUGGAUCGUAAAGUUCUGUUCUAGGUGAUGAAAACUGACAGUAACCUAGGAGAAAGCCCCGGCUAACUCCGUG
rnacentral:rRNA from 1 species